UACGUAGGGUCCGAGCGUUGUCCGGAAUUAUUGGGCGUAAAGAGCGUGUAGGCGGCCAUACAGGUCAGCUGUGAAAACUCGAGGCUCAACCUCGAGACGUCGGUUGAAACCGUUUGGCUAGAGUCCGGAAGAGGAGAGUGGAAUUCCCGGUGUAGCGGUGAAAUGCGCAGAUAUCGGGAAGAACACCAACGGCGAAAGCACUCUGCUGGGCCGACACUGACACUGAGAGACGAAAGCUAGGGGAGCGAAUGGG
rnacentral:rRNA from 1 species